rnacentral:lncRNA from 1 species
CAAAGCGCGAAUUUGGAGUAUCCGAAAAGAGCAUUCGGUACUGGCUGAGGCAGAAGCAGCGUAUUACAGCUUGCAGCAACCAAAAGAAAACUUCAUUUCCACCACUUGCAGAUACCA